rnacentral:rRNA from 1 species
CAGGCCUAACACAUGCAAGUCGAACGGCAGCAUGAUCUAGCUUGCUAGAUUGAUGGCGAGUGGCGAACGGGUGAGUAAUACAUCGGAACGUGCCCUGUAGUGGGGGAUAACUAGUCGAAAGAUUAGCUAAUACCGCAUACGACCUGAGGGUGAAAGUGGGGGACCGCAAGGCCUCAUGCUGUAGGAGCGGCCGAUGUCUGAUUAGCUAGUUGGUGGGGUAAAGGCCCACCAAGGCGACGAUCAGUAGCUGGUCUGAGAGGACGAUCAGCCACACUGGGACUGAGACACGGCCCAGACUCCUACGGGAGGCAGCAGUGGGGAAUUUUGGACAAUGGGCGAAAGCCUGAUCCAGCAAUGCCGCGUGUGUGAAGAAGGCCUUCGGGUUGUAAAGCACUUUUGUCCGGAAAGAAAUGGCUCUGGUUAAUACCUGGGGUCGAUGACGGUACCGGAAGAAUAAGGACCGGCUAACUACGUGCCAGCAGCCGCGGUAAU